rnacentral:rRNA from 1 species
CUAUCGCUUACAGAUGGGCCCGCGGUGCAUUAGCUAGUUGGUAGGGUAAUGGCCUACCAAGGCAACGAUGCAUAGCCGACCUGAGAGGGUGAUCGGCCACACUGGGACUGAGACACGGCCCAGACUCCUACGGGAGGCAGCAGUAGGGAAUCUUCCGCAAUGGACGAAAGUCUGACGGAGCAACGCCGCGUGUAUGAAGAAGGUUUUCGGAUCGUAAAGUACUGUUGUUAGAGAAGAACAAGGAUAAGAGUAACUGCUUGUCCCUUGACGGUAUCUAACCAGAAAGCCACGGCUAACUACGUGCCAGCAGCCGCGGUAAUACGUAGGUGGCAAGCGUUGUCCGGAUUUAUUGGGCGUAAAGCGCGCGCAGGCGGUCUUUUAAGUCUGAUGUGAAAGCCCCCGGCUUAACCGGGGAGGGUCAUUG